UGGGGAAUCUUGCGCAAUGCGCGAAAGCGUGACGCAGCAACGCCGCGUGAGGGAAGACGGCCUUCGGGUUGUAAACCUCUUUCAGUUGGGACGAAGCUUGACCGGUGAAUAGCCGGUUUGAGUGACGGUACCUUCACAAGAAGCCCCGGCUAACUACGUGCCAGCAGCCGCGGUAAUACGUAGGGGGCAAGCGUUGUCCGGAAUCAUUGGGCGUAAAGCGCGUGUAGGCGGCUCGGUAAGUCCGCUCUGAAAGUCCAAGGCUCAACCUUGGGAUGCGGGUGGAUACUGCCGGGCUCGAGUCCGGAAGAGGCGAGUGGAAUUCCUGGUGUAGCGGUGAAAUGCGCAGAUAUCAGGAGGAACACCAAUGGCGAAGGCAGCUCGCUGGGACGUGACUGACGCUGAGACGCGAAAGCGUGGGGAGCAAAC
rnacentral:rRNA from 1 species